rnacentral:rRNA from 1 species
GACGAACGCUGGCGGCGUGCUUAACACAUGCAAGUCGAACGGAAAGGCCCUGCUUUUGUGGGGUGCUCGAGUGGCGAACGGGUGAGUAACACGUGAGUAACCUGCCCUUGACUUUGGGAUAACUUCAGGAAACUGGGGCUAAUACCGGAUAGGAGAUCCUGCUGCAUGGUGGGGGUUGGAACGUUUCGGCGGGUGGGGAUGGACGCGCGGCUGAUCAGCUUGUUGGUGGGGUAGUGGCUGACCAAGGCUUUGACGGGUAGCCGGCCUGGGAGGGUGACCGGCCACAUUGGGACUGAGAUACGGCCCAGACUCCUACGUGAGGCAGCAGUGGGGAAUAUUGCCCAAUGGGCGGAAGUCUGAUGCAGCAACGCCGCGUUCGUGAUGACGGUCUUCGGGGUGUAAACCGCUUUCGCCUGUGACGAAGCGGGAGUGACGGUAAUGGGUAAAGAAGCACCGGCUAACUACGUG